CGGCUGCGGUCGUUUCAUUGCCAACUGUGAGGAUGAAGCAGCUUCAUGGCCGGAGAUCGGGCGCCUCCCAUCAGUUUCCCUUUUCAGCAAUAGAGGCCUUGGAGGCCUUUCUACCUGCGUUGCAUCCUGUGGCUGGACCACUCCAACGAUCUCGGCAGAAUCGUUACACAGGAAGAAGUCUGGCUGGCUCCAAGCCUGGUGCAAAAUGAAGAAAU
rnacentral:lncRNA from 1 species